GACGGAGGGCCCGUCGGAGCCGAUCAUUAGGGAUAGGCUUCAAACCAGCCCAAGCGGCUGUCAUUAAGAGUGAUGGUCGUGAGCGUUGGGAAAAGGCAGGACAGCGAUCCUGUCAUGG
rfam:Marine metagenome 1924163, whole genome shotgun sequence.